CAUUAAGAAGCUAAAAUAGGAUUCAGCAUUAGCCUUUUAAGCUAAAGAUUGGUGCCUCCCGACCACCCUUAAUGA
rnacentral:tRNA from 1 species